rnacentral:tRNA from 3 species
GGGGUCGUGGCGCAGUGGUAGCGCGUCUGUUUUGCAUACAGAAGGUCCCGUGUUCAAUCCGCGGCGGCUCCA